GAUGAAGAACGUAGCGAAAUGCGAUAAUUAAUGUGAAUUGCAGAAUUUAGUGAAUCAUCGAAUCUUUGAACGCACAUUGCGCCCGCCAGUAUUCUGGCGGGCAUGCCUGUCUGAGCGUCAUUUCAACCCUCAUGCCCCUAGGGCGUGGUGUUGGGGAUCGGCCAAAGCCCGCGAGGGACGGCCGGCCCCUAAAUCUAGUGGCGGACCCGUCGUGGCCUCCUCUGCGAAGUAGUGAUAUUCCGCAUCGGAGAGCGAUGAGCCCCUGCCGUUAAACCCCCAACUUUCCAAGGUUGACCUCAGAUCAGGUAGGAAUACCCGCUGAACUUAAGCAUAUCAAUAAGCGGAGGA
rnacentral:misc_RNA from 1 species